GGGCAUGUAGCUCAAACGGUAGAGCGCUCGGUUUGCAUUUUGAGAGGUACGGGGUUCGAUAUCCCGCAUCUCCA
rfam:Picea glauca, whole genome shotgun sequence.